rnacentral:rRNA from 1 species
AUUGAACGCUGGCGGCAGGCCUAACACAUGCAAGUCGAACGAGUGGCGGACGGGUGAGUAAUGUCUGGGACCCUGCCCGAUGGAGGGGGAUAACUACUGGAAACGGUAGCUAAUACCGCAAACCAUCGGAUGUGCCCAGGUGGGGUUAGCUAGUGGGUGGGGUAACGGCUCACCUAGGCGACGGUCCCUAGCCGGUCUGCGAGGAUGACCAGCCACACUGGAACUGAGACACGGUCCAGACUCCUACGGGAGGCAGCAGUAGGGAAUAUUGAGCAAUGGGCGAAAGCCUGAUGCAGCCAUGCCGCGUGUAUGAUGAAGGUCUUCGGGUUGUAAAGUACUUUCAGCGAGGAGGCGUUACUCACAGAGGAAGCACCGGCUAACUCCGUGCCAGCAGCCGCGGUAAUAC